rnacentral:lncRNA from 1 species
UGAUUAAAGAAAUAUUAUUAAGUAGCCCUUCUUUCUAAAUAUACUUUCAUGCUAAAACAAAAUAACUCAGAAAAUAUGAAAACAGAACUCUAGAACUCUUUGAAGUUAGCAAGUAAAGCAUACAUACAUGGUGUCUUAGUAACUGUUUCCAUUAUGCAGAUUCUAAGAAUCUUUCCUGGACAAGACUAAAGAAUUCCCAGUGGCAAACCAUGAUCUGCUGCUCAGCUCAAAUUUAAUAGAGAAGAGAGUACAUAAGUAGAAGACCAAAACUGUAUUGUUACCAGAGUUCCAACCGCUGCUGACUUUUCUGGCUCUACAAAAGAGGGUCAAUGAGAUAUAUCUCCAUGAGAGGCAACAUCCAAAUCAUCUGCCAGGUGAUCCCACCUUGUCACAAAGGAUUGUGACUGACAGCAGAAAGAAAGCAGGCAUGAGAAAACGAGAUGCAGUCAAGAGCUGACGAUCACAUCAAAAAGGAAAGAAAGGUGAAACAUUUCGACUACAGUGAAAUUUGCUGUUAAGCUUUUUCUAUGGAGAGAAAAGCUUUCUUCAUAGAGAAA